rnacentral:lncRNA from 1 species
AGCACAUCACAUCACAUAGGUAGAGGAGAGGUCAAAGGGCAACUUGGAAGGAGUUAGUUCUCAUCUUCCUCCUUGGUCAAGCAGGGUCUCUUGUUGUUACUGCUAAGAAAACUACCCCAGGCUCUGGUCCACAGACCUGAGUCUCUCGUGUUUUACUCCAUCUUGCCUUAGGUGUGCUGAGAUUACAGAUGGACACUACUGCACCCAGUGUUUUACAUGGGUUCUGGGAAUUGAACUCAGGACCUCUGGAAGAACAGCCCUUGCUCUUAACUACUGAACCAUCUCUCCAGCCCUAGGCAGCACUUUUACCCAUUGAGCCAUUUUCCUGGCCAAGUGUUCUAAUUGAACUAAGUUCCAGAAGGAAGUGAGCUGUUCCUAGGAGAGAGGAGUGCAUGUCAGUCUUAGACUCCCUCGUGUGGUAGACAGGAACACAAAUCCAUGGAUAAGGAGAAGAGAAUAGCUGAAUUUCAUACAAAAUUAAGAGUUACCUAUGGGCGGGCUACAGACGUCCUAAUCACAGGUCAUGGGUACCUAUUCCUAAUUGUUUCUUGGAAGGUCCUCCCUACAUUCACUGUUGCCUUGAACUGAAGACUGAAGGCAGAGCAGAAAGCUCAGAAACACCCAGCACACAGCCAUUAGCACAGGGCCUUCGUGGAGCUCAGAACAUACAUAGCACAGUAUAGUGAACUCUGAGAGCAGGAAAGGAGAGAAGAGAAAGAUUCUAAAAGAACCAGAACCUUUCACUGAGUGUAUAGAAGGGCCCACCAGUAGCGAGUAUCAUCAUAGGACAGAAAGCAAAGCUGGUGGCUGGUGCCCAGUGGCUGGGCAGAGAGAGACUACGCUGGAGUCCCUUGUGCUCAGAGCAAAGUCCUGCUGAAAGGACCAUCUUGCUCCUGCAUUGGAGAACUGACUGAGCAAAUCUACAACAAAGCCCAGACCCAAGUGUCCUACGAAGUAUAUGGUGCUUUUUCUACACCACUCGACUGUGGUCCUUUUUAGAUAUUUAAUAUCACCAUUAUAAUU